rnacentral:lncRNA from 1 species
ACAACAGCAGCCACUUCAAGUCACUGGCCACGGGCGGGAACGUGAGCCAGGCCCUGGCUUUGGUUGGAGAGAAGGCUUGCUACCAAUCCAUCAGUAGCUAUGGAGGACAGAUCUUCUAUCUGGGGACAAAGUCCGUUUACGUGAUGAUGCUGAGAAGCUGGAGGGAGGUGAGUGUUUACGGGGAUGGUCGGCAUGGGGACUGAAGUGGCAGGGCCCUCACGUUUCCUUGACUCUGCAGAUCUUAACCUCAGAAGAAUACUUAAACGCCAUUUCAGCUGUUAGGUACUUGAUUUGCUAAAACUGAUCAUAUCAGAAUCGGGUUUAGUGCUGCUGUACUAUCCUGCUAUCAGAACAUGGCGUGAGGAAGAUGUGCUAUUAAUCAGUGACAUUUGGAAGGGGUGGCUUUGUUUGUAUAGUAGUGCCCUAUUUACAAGUGAUAAUCUGUCAUUUUAAGUUGCAAAAUUAGUG